rnacentral:rRNA from 1 species
GACGAACGCUGGCGGCGUGCUUAACACAUGCAAGUCGAGCGGAAAGGCCCUUCGGGGUACUCGAGCGGCGAACGGGUGAGUAACACGUGAGUAACCUGCCCCAGACUUUGGGAUAACCCUCGGAAACGGGGGCUAAUACCGGAUACGACACAGCUUCGCAUGGGGUCUGUGUGGAAAGUUUUUCGGUUUGGGAUGGGCUCGCGGCCUAUCAGCUUGUUGGUGGGGUGAUGGCCUACCAAGGCGACGACGGGUAGCCGGCCUGAGAGGGCGACCGGCCACACUGGGACUGAGACACGGCCCAGACUCCUACGGGAGGCAGCAGUGGGGAAUAUUGCACAAUGGGCGGAAGCCUGAUGCAGCGACGCCGCGUGAGGGAUGACGGCCUUCGGGUUGUAAACCUCUUUCAGCAGGGACGAAGUGUAAGUGACGGUACCUGCAGAAGAAGCGCCGGCCAACUACGUG